ACAAUGGUGGUUCAGUGGUAGAAUUCUUGCCUUCUACACAGGAAACCUGAGUUCAGUUCCCAGCCAAUACA
rnacentral:tRNA from 1 species